GAUGAACGCUGACAGAAUGCUUAACACAUGCAAGUCGAUGGGGAAGUGGUGCUUGCCCCAUGGCAACCAUGGCGGACGGGUGAGUAACGCGUAAGGGACUUACCUGCAGGACUGGGAUAACAGGGGGAAACUCCUGACAAGACCGGAUAAUGUCAUGGAGCUGCAUGGCUUUAUGAUGAAAGGAGACGCCUGCGGAGAGCCUUGCGUCCUAUUAGCUAGUUGGUGAGGUAAUGGCUCACCAAGGCGAAGAUAGGUAGCCGGCCUGAGAGGGUGGACGGCCACAAGGGGACUGAGAUACGGCCCUUACGCCUACGGGAGGCAGCAGUGGGGAAUAUUGGACAAUGGGGGCAACCCUGAUCCAGCAAUUCUGUGUGCACGAAGAAGGUUUUCGGAUUGUAAAGUGCUUUCAGCAGGGAAGAAGUAAGUGACGGUACCUGCAGAAGAAGCGACGGCUAAAUACGUG
rnacentral:rRNA from 1 species